rnacentral:rRNA from 1 species
GACAGAGGGUGCAAACGUUGUUCGGAAUUACUGGGCGUAAAGCGCGUGUAGGCGGUUCGUAAAGUCAGUUGUGAAAGCCCUGGGCUUAACCCAGGAAGUGCACUUGAAACUCACGAACUUGAGUCCCGGAGAGGAAGGCGGAAUUCUCGGUGUAGAGGUGAAAUUCGUAGAUAUCGAGAGGAACAUCGGUGGCGAAGGCGGCCUUCUGGACGGUGACUGACGCUGAGACGCGAAAGCGUGGGGAGCAAACAGG